rnacentral:rRNA from 1 species
GGUCAAGUGAAGAAGCGCAUACGGUGGAUGCCUUGGCAGUCAGAGGCGAUGAAAGACGUGGUAGCCUGCGAAAAGCUUCGGGGAGUCGGCAAACAGACUUUGAUCCGGAGAUGUCUGAAUGGGGGAACCCAGCCAUCAUAAGAUGGUUAUCUUGUACUGAAUACAUAGGUGCAAGAGGCGAACCAGGGGAACUGAAACAUCUAAGUACCCUGAGGAAAAGAAAUCAACCGAGAUUCCCUUAGUAGUGGCGAGCGAACGGGGACUAGCCCUUAAGUGGCUUUGAGAUUAGCGGAACGCUCUGGAAAGUGCGGCCAUAGUGGGUGAUAGCCCUGUACGCGAAAAUCUCUUAGUCAUGAAAUCGAGUAGGACGGAGCACGAGAAACUUUGUCUGAAUAUGGGGGGACCAUCCUCCAAGGCUAAAUACUACUGACUGACCGAUAGUGAACUAGUACCGUGAGGGAAAGGCGAAAAGAACCCCGGAGAGGGGAGUGAAAUAGAUCCUGAAACCGUAUGCGUACAAGCAGUGGGAGCAGACUUUGUUCUGUGACUGCGUACCUUUUGUAUAAUGGGUCAGCGACUUAUUUUCAGUGGCGAGCUUAACCGAAUAGGGGAGGCGUAGCGAAAGCGAGUCUUAAUAGGGCGUCUAGUCGCUGGGAAUAGACCCGAAACCGGGCGAUCUAUCCAUGGGCAGGUUGAAGGUUAGGUAACACUGACUGGAGGACCGAACCGACUACCGUUGAAAAGUUAGCGGAUGACCUGUGGAUCGGAGUGAAAGGCUAAUCAAGCUCGGAGAUAGCUGGUUCUCCUCGAAAGCUAUUUAGGUAGCGCCUCAUGUAUCACUGUAGGGGGUAGAGCACUGUUUCGGCUAGGGGGUCAUCCCGACUUACCAAACCGAUGCAAACUCCGAAUACCUACAAGUGCCGAGCAUGGGAGACACACGGCGGGUGCUAACGUCCGUCGUGAAAAGGGAAACAACCCAGACCGUCAGCUAAGGUCCCAAAGUUAUGGUUAAGUGGGAAACGAUGUGGGAAGGCUUAGACAGCUAGGAGGUUGGCUUAGAAGCAGCCACCCUUUAAAGAAAGCGUAAUAGCUCACUAGUCGAGUCGGCCUGCGCGGAAGAUGUAACGGGGCUCAAACCAUACACCGAAGCUACGGGUAUCACGUAAGUGAUGCGGUAGAGGAGCGUUCUGUAAGCCUGUGAAGGUGAGUUGAGAAGCUUGCUGGAGGUAUCAGAAGUGCGAAUGCUGACAUGAGUAACGACAAUGGGUGUGAAAAACACCCACGCCGAAAGACCAAGGUUUCCUGCGCAACGUUAAUCGACGCAGGGUUAGUCGGUCCCUAAGGCGAGGCUGAAAAGCGUAGUCGAUGGAAAACAGGUUAAUAUUCCUGUACUUCUGGUUAUUGCGAUGGAGGGACGGAGAAGGCUAGGCCAGCUUGGCGUUGGUUGUCCAAGUUUAAGGUGGUAGGCUGGAAUCUUAGGUAAAUCCGGGAUUCUAAGGCCGAGAGCUGAUGACGAGUUGCCAUUAGGCGACGAAGUGGUUGAUGCCAUGCUUCCAAGAAAAGCUUCUAAGCUUCAGGUAACCAGGAACCGUACCCCAAACCGACACAGGUGGUUGGGUAGAGAAUACCAAGGCGCUUGAGAGAACUCGGGUGAAGGAACUAGGCAAAAUGGCACCGUAACUUCGGGAGAAGGUGCGCCGGUGAGGGUGAAGGACUUGCUCCGUAAGCUCAUGCCGGUCGAAGAUACCAGGCCGCUGCGACUGUUUAUUAAAAACACAGCACUCUGCAAACACGAAAGUGGACGUAUAGGGUGUGACGCCUGCCCGGUGCCGGAAGGUUAAUUGAUGGGGUUAGCUAACGCGAAGCUCUUGAUCGAAGCCCCGGUAAACGGCGGCCGUAACUAUAACGGUCCUAAGGUAGCGAAAUUCCUUGUCGGGUAAGUUCCGACCUGCACGAAUGGCGUAACGAUGGCGGCGCUGUCUCCACCCGAGACUCAGUGAAAUUGAAAUCGCUGUGAAGAUGCAGUGUAUCCGCGGCUAGACGGAAAGACCCCGUGAACCUUUACUAUAGCUUUGCACUGGACUUUGAAUUUGCUUGUGUAGGAUAGGUGGGAGGCUUUGAAGCGUGAACGCCAGUUUGCGUGGAGCCAUCCUUGAAAUACCACCCUGGCAACUUUGAGGUUCUAACUCAGGUCCGUUAUCCGGAUCGAGGACAGUGUAUGGUGGGUAGUUUGACUGGGGCGGUCUCCUCCUAAAGAGUAACGGAGGAGUACGAAGGUGCGCUCAGACCGGUCGGAAAUCGGUCGUAGAGUAUAAAGGCAAAAGCGCGCUUGACUGCGAGACAGACACGUCGAGCAGGUACGAAAGUAGGUCUUAGUGAUCCGGUGGUUCUGUAUGGAAGGGCCAUCGCUCAACGGAUAAAAGGUACUCCGGGGAUAACAGGCUGAUACCGCCCAAGAGUUCAUAUCGACGGCGGUGUUUGGCACCUCGAUGUCGGCUCAUCACAUCCUGGGGCUGAAGCCGGUCCCAAGGGUAUGGCUGUUCGCCAUUUAAAGUGGUACGCGAGCUGGGUUUAGAACGUCGUGAGACAGUUCGGUCCCUAUCUGCCGUGGACGUUUGAGAUUUGAGAGGGGCUGCUCCUAGUACGAGAGGACCGGAGUGGACGAACCUCUGGUGUUCCGGUUGUCACGCCAGUGGCAUUGCCGGGUAGCUAUGUUCGGAAAAGAUAACCGCUGAAAGCAUCUAAGCGGGAAACUUGCCUCAAGAUGAGAUCUCACUGGAACCUUGAGUUCCCUGAAGGGCCGUCGAAGACUACGACGUUGAUAGGUUGGGUGUGUAAGCGCUGUGAGGCGUUGAGCUAACCAAUACUAAUUGCCCGUGAGGCUUGACCAU